UACGUGGGCAGCGAGCGUUGUUCGGAGUUACUGGGCGUAAAGAGUGCGUAGGCGGUUUUCUAAGUUUGGUGUGAAAUCUCCCGGCUCAACUGGGAGGGUGCGCCGAAGACUGGAAGGCUUGAGUAUGGGAGAGGUAAGCGGAAUUCCUGGUGUAGCGGUGAAAUGCGUAGAUAUCAGGAGGAACACCUGCGGUGUAGACGGCUUACUGGACCAUAACUGACGCUGAGGCACGAAAGCGUGGGUAGCAAACAGG
rnacentral:rRNA from 1 species